rnacentral:rRNA from 1 species
GACGGAGGAUGCAAGUGUUAUCCGGAAUCACUGGGCGUAAAGCGUCUGUAGGUGGUUUAAAAAGUCCACUGUUAAAAAUUGAAGCUUAACUUCAAAGAUGCCGUGGAAACUUUUAAACUUGAGUAUGAUAGGGGUAGAGGGAAUUUCCAGUGGAGCGGUGAAAUGCGUAGAUAUUGGAAAGACCACCGAUGGCGAAGGCACUCUACUGGGCCAUUACUGACACUGAGAGACGAAAGCUAGGGGAGCAAAUGGG